rnacentral:rRNA from 1 species
UACAGAGGGGGCAAGCGUUGUUCGGAAUUACUGGGCGUAAAGGGCGCGUAGGCGGCCUGCUAAGUCGAACGUGAAAUCCCUGGGCUCAACCCAGGAACUGCGUCCGAUACUGGUUGGCUUGAAUCCGGGAGAGGGACGUGGAAUUCCAGGUGUAGCGGUGAAAUGCGUAGAUAUCUGGAGGAACACCGGUGGCGAAGGCGACGUCCUGGACCGGUACUGACGCUGAGGCGCGAAAGCCAGGGGAGCAAACGGG